UACAGAGGGUGCGAGCGUUUAAUCGGAAUUACUGGGCGUAAAGCGUGCGUAGACGGCUAUCUAAGUCGGGUGUGAAAGCCCCGGGCUCAACCUGGGAAUUGCAUUCGAGACUGAAUAGCUAGGGUGCGGUAGAGGGAAGCGGAAUUUCCGGUGUAGCGGUGAAAUGCGUAGAUAUCGGAAGGAACACCAGUGGCGAAAGCGGCUUCCUGGUCCAGCACCGACGUUCAGGCACGAAAGCGUGGGGAGCAAACAGG
rnacentral:rRNA from 1 species